AGAGUUUGAUCCUGGCUCAGAACGAACGCUGGCGGCGUGCCUAACACAUGCAAGUCGAACGCGAAAGCCUGGGCAACUGGGCGAGUAGAGUGGCGCACGGGUGAGUAAUACGUGGGUAACCUACCCUCGAGUGGGGAAUAACUCCUCGAAAGGGGAGCUAAUACCGCAUAAGACCACGAUCCCUUUGGGGAUUGCGGUCAAAGGUGGCCUCAUCAGGCAGAGCGUUUGGGUUCCUAUUUCGGAUUAGAAAUAGGAUCUCAAACGUUUUGCUAAGUGAAGCUGCCGCUUGAGGAGGGGCUCGCGGCCCAUCAGCUAGUUGGUAGGGUAACGGCUUACCAAGGCGACGACGGGUAGCUGGUCUGAGAGGACGACCAGCCACACGGGAAUUGAGAUACGGUUCCGACUCCUACGGGAGGCAGCAGUGGGGAAUCUUGGGCAAUGGGGGAAACCCUGACCCAGCGACGCCGUGUGGGGGAUGAAGGCCUUCGGGUUGUAAACCCCUGUUGGGUGGGACGAAUGCCUUUUCGUAAAUAGCGAAAAGGUUUGACGGUACCAUCAGAGAAAGCCCCGGCUAACUCCGUGCCAGCAGCCGCGGUAAUACGGAGGGGGCGAGUGUUGUCCGGAAUUAUUGGGCGUAAAGAGCGUGUAGGCGGUUCGGUAAGUCUGCCGUGAAAACCUGAGGCUCAACCUCGGGCGUGCGGUGGAUACUGCCGGGCUAGAGGACGGUAGAGGCGAGUGGAAUUCCCGGUGUAGCGGUGAAAUGCGCAGAUAUCGGGAGGAACACCAGUAGCGAAGGCGGCUCGCUGGGCCGUUCCUGACGCUGAGACGCGAAAGCUAGGGGAGCGAACAGGAUUAGAUACCCCAGUAGUCC
rnacentral:rRNA from 1 species